CUAUUGGCUGAAGUUACAAUGUUAACGUGUUCUUUCACAUGUGUUGUCUGAUUAUACAGGGUUGCAAAUUCCAUCCGACGUGUCUUUAUGUCAGAGGUUGCAACAAUAGCUAUUGAUUGGAUUCAAAUUGAUGCAAAUUCUUCUGUUAUCCACGAUGAGUUCAUUGCUCACAGAGUGGGUCUUAUCCCUCUCACCAGUGAUGACGUUGUGGACAAGAUGCAGUACUCCAGAGUAAGCAUUUGGACACUUGAGGAAGAUGUCUGAAGGUAACAUUGCCAGCCAUGCUCACUUGAAGAUGAAACCCCUAAUGCUCUUUAAGCCGUACACUCCACAGAGCUGGGCUUUACGGAAGAGUGGCCAGAAAAAAAGCCAUUGCUUAAAGAAAA